CCAGCAGAGGGCAUCAGUACAUUAUCACGUAGGGACAUUGAAGGUAUCUUUUUUGUCCAGCAGAGGGAAGCAGAGACAAACAUUUCAAUUAUAAAUGGUUGUAUUUGCAUUUGAUGGGAAUCCUCAGGUUCCUCACGUUGCAGAGCAUCCAGGCCUAUUCCCUUGUGCAUAUAAACAAAUCAACUCUUCUUGUACAGGUCAAUUGGGACAUUUGUUGGGAUUCAGAAAUACGUUAUUAUUAUUUGCUUUUUUUAA